rnacentral:rRNA from 1 species
GGGUUGUGAGGUUAAGCGACUAAGCGUACACGGUGGAUGCCCUGGCAGUCAGAGGCGAUGAAGGACGUGCUAAUCUGCGAUAAGCGUCGGUAAGGUGAUAUGAACCGUUAUAACCGGCGAUUUCCGAAUGGGGAAACCCAGUGUGUUUCGACACACUAUCAUUAACUGAAUCCAUAGGUUAAUGAGGCGAACCGGGGGAACUGAAACAUCUAAGUACCCCGAGGAAAAGAAAUCAACCGAGAUUCCCCCAGUAGCGGCGAGCGAACGGGGAGCAGCCCAGAGCCUGAAUCAGUGUGUGUGUUAGUGGAAGCGUCUGGAAAGGCGCGCGAUACAGGGUGACAGCCCCGUACACAAAAAUGCACAUGCUGUGAGCUCGAUGAGUAGGGCGGGACACGUGGUAUCCUGUCUGAAUAUGGGGGGACCAUCCUCCAAGGCUAAAUACUCCUGACUGACCGAUAGUGAACCAGUACCGUGAGGGAAAGGCGAAAAGAACCCCGGCGAGGGGAGUGAAAAAGAACCUGAAACCGUGUACGUACAAGCAGUGGGAGCACGCUUAGGCGUGUGACUGCGUACCUUUUGUAUAAUGGGUCAGCGACUUAUAUUCUGUAGCAAGGUUAACCGAAUAGGGGAGCCGAAGGGAAACCGAGUCUUAACUGGGCGUUAAGUUGCAGGGUAUAGACCCGAAACCCGGUGAUCUAGCCAUGGGCAGGUUGAAGGUUGGGUAACACUAACUGGAGGACCGAACCGACUAAUGUUGAAAAAUUAGCGGAUGACUUGUGGCUGGGGGUGAAAGGCCAAUCAAACCGGGAGAUAGCUGGUUCUCCCCGAAAGCUAUUUAGGUAGCGCCUCGUGAAUUCAUCUCCGGGGGUAGAGCACUGUUUCGGCAAGGGGGUCAUCCCGACUUACCAACCCGAUGCAAACUACGAAUACCGGAGAAUGUUAUCACGGGAGACACACGGCGGGUGCUAACGUCCGUCGUGAAGAGGGAAACAACCCAGACCGCCAGCUAAGGUCCCAAAGUCAUGGUUAAGUGGGAAACGAUGUGGGAAGGCCCAGACAGCCAGGAUGUUGGCUUAGAAGCAGCCAUCAUUUAAAGAAAGCGUAAUAGCUCACUGGUCGAGUCGGCCUGCGCGGAAGAUGUAACGGGGCUAAACCAUGCACCGAAGCUGCGGCAGCGACGCUGAUGCGUUGUUGGGUAGGGGAGCGUUCUGUAAGCCUGCGAAGGUGUGCUGUGAGGCAUGCUGGAGGUAUCAGAAGUGCGAAUGCUGACAUAAGUAACGAUAAAGCGGGUGAAAAGCCCGCUCGCCGGAAGACCAAGGGUUCCUGUCCAACGUUAAUCGGGGCAGGGUGAGUCGACCCCUAAGGCGAGGCCGAAAGGCGUAGUCGAUGGGAAACAGGUUAAUAUUCCUGUACUUGGUGUUACUGCGAAGGGGGGACGGAGAAGGCUAUGUUGGCCGGGCGACGGUUGUCCCGGUUUAAGCGUGUAGGCUGGUUUUCCAGGCAAAUCCGGAAAAUCAAGGCUGAGGCGUGAUGACGAGGCACUACGGUGCUGAAGCAACAAAUGCCCUGCUUCCAGGAAAAGCCUCUAAGCAUCAGGUAACAUCAAAUCGUACCCCAAACCGACACAGGUGGUCAGGUAGAGAAUACCAAGGCGCUUGAGAGAACUCGGGUGAAGGAACUAGGCAAAAUGGUGCCGUAACUUCGGGAGAAGGCACGCUGAUAUGUAGGUGAAGUCCCUCGCGGAUGGAGCUGAAAUCAGUCGAAGAUACCAGCUGGCUGCAACUGUUUAUUAAAAACACAGCACUGUGCAAACACGAAAGUGGACGUAUACGGUGUGACGCCUGCCCGGUGCCGGAAGGUUAAUUGAUGGGGUUAGCGCAAGCGAAGCUCUUGAUCGAAGCCCCGGUAAACGGCGGCCGUAACUAUAACGGUCCUAAGGUAGCGAAAUUCCUUGUCGGGUAAGUUCCGACCUGCACGAAUGGCGUAAUGAUGGCCAGGCUGUCUCCACCCGAGACUCAGUGAAAUUGAACUCGCUGUGAAGAUGCAGUGUACCCGCGGCAAGACGGAAAGACCCCGUGAACCUUUACUAUAGCUUGACACUGAACAUUGAGCCUUGAUGUGUAGGAUAGGUGGGAGGCUUUGAAGUGUGGACGCCAGUCUGCAUGGAGCCGACCUUGAAAUACCACCCUUUAAUGUUUGAUGUUCUAACGUGGACCCGUAAUCCGGGUUGCGGACAGUGUCUGGUGGGUAGUUUGACUGGGGCGGUCUCCUCCUAAAGAGUAACGGAGGAGCACGAAGGUUGGCUAAUCCUGGUCGGACAUCAGGAGGUUAGUGCAAUGGCAUAAGCCAGCUUGACUGCGAGCGUGACGGCGCGAGCAGGUGCGAAAGCAGGUCAUAGUGAUCCGGUGGUUCUGAAUGGAAGGGCCAUCGCUCAACGGAUAAAAGGUACUCCGGGGAUAACAGGCUGAUACCGCCCAAGAGUUCAUAUCGACGGCGGUGUUUGGCACCUCGAUGUCGGCUCAUCACAUCCUGGGGCUGAAGUAGGUCCCAAGGGUAUGGCUGUUCGCCAUUUAAAGUGGUACGCGAGCUGGGUUUAGAACGUCGUGAGACAGUUCGGUCCCUAUCUGCCGUGGGCGCUGGAGAACUGAGGGGGGCUGCUCCUAGUACGAGAGGACCGGAGUGGACGCAUCACUGGUGUUCGGGUUGUCAUGCCAAUGGCACUGCCCGGUAGCUAAAUGCGGAAGAGAUAAGUGCUGAAAGCAUCUAAGCACGAAACUUGCCCCGAGAUGAGUUCUCCCUGACUCCUUGAGAGUCCUGAAGGAACGUUGAAGACGACGACGUUGAUAGGCCGGGUGUGUAAGCGCAGCGAUGCGUUGAGCUAACCGGUACUAAUGAACCGUGAGGCUUAACCUUACAACGCCGAAG